GUUGUUAUUAGCAGUCUCAGCACAUGAUGGUUCAUGUAACUGGGCCUAUGUGCAGCCUCUACAUCAGCCAUCAUUGCUCUUCAUUAAUAUAAUCCAUUGUCCCAGCUCUGAGAUGACUAACAUCAACUGAGGUGGCUACUGAUGAUUAAUAUCAGCUGCCUGAGUCGUUUCGUCUACUUGGCUACUAAGCACUUAUUCAUGGUAACGCUAUUUGCUGGGCAUUGAGCUAUAAAAGUAUUUUCACACUUUGUGCCACUUACUAUAUACCCACACUUCAUAUUUUUCUAAUCUUUUUUCUUUCCUGAGACCUAGUGAGAGGGCCAGGGUCCUGGCUACUACCUAGGAGUUUGUAUAAGUCCUGACCUUGGGUCACUUUUUGUUCCACUUAGUGUAGAUGCCAAGUAUACUGUUUUGCGCUCUGCCCUGGGUCCACUGUCUUUCAGGACUUCCCCAAAGUGGCUGAGAUGAGGUCCGUCUCUUUUCAGCAUGAUCUGGUGUAUUAAGAUAAGUCAUGCUUAACCAAGCCUGACUAUUUCCUUCCUUUCAUCAGCUCUUCUUUCAAAAUGCCCUGUUCUGGAGAAAGGAGCACACAUUGCUACCAAGGAAGCGACUAGCAUUGCAUUGUUGAAUAAGUUCAGAAGAGCAGCAGUUAAUAAUUCAUGGCAGCCUCCCUACUUCCCUCUCCACGUACUGUGAACACAAUGGAUGUCUGUGUCAUUAGAACAUGAAACAAUGGUCUAUCUUAUACUCACCCUGGGCUGGGCAGAGUGUGCCCUGGUGAGGAAUUGUCAAGGAAGGGCACAAAGAAGAUACACCAGCCACCAUCAGUCAGCUCCCAAAAAUUUACUGGGAAGACAUCCAAAUUUUCAUUAUUAUUGCUUUUUUGGGUCUUAAAAACCAAGAUGAUUAGUUUCUUUGACAAAUGCACUUCUCCUCAAAUUGCAAAUGCUGAUGUUAAAAUCGUUAAAGUAAAAACAGAAUCUCAA